UGUAUACUCCCUCCGUUCCAAAAUACUUGACUUCCAUUUGUCCAAAAAUGGAUGUACCUAUAUACUAAAACAUGUCUAGAUACAUAUAUAUUUUGACAAAUAGAAGGCAUGUAUUGUGCAACGGAGGGAGUAGAAU
rfam:Triticum aestivum genome assembly, contig: Triticum_aestivum_CS42_TGACv1_scaffold_037554_1BL